AGGAAAAUGUAGACCUCAGGUUAAAUGACAUCAUCCUGAUACAUUCAUCCCAUCAUGUUCCAGUUUUCCUGAAGAGGUGUUGGGAAAUCCUUAGUAGCUUCUCUUACUACAUCAUAUCCAGUCUUAGAGAUGAAGUUAUUUCUUAUCCUGUACUGGUCAGCAAUCCAUUGUUGUGUGGCUUGAAUAUUGACAACAAGCAGAGGAAGCCCUUGCUUAUAAGAUCUGAAUUAAUGUAUAUUCUUGGUUUACUCACUUUUAUGGUCAUCUAUAUCAGUGGGUGUGAGGAGGGGAAGCAAUCCACAUCUAGACUGCCUGCACGGUUACCCCAAAGUCCUUAAAUGGAAAUUCUAAUGAAGCCUUCAAACUCAAAUCAGGGAGAGGGUCCCUAAGGAAGCGAGAAUAAUUCUGAAACGUGAAUUCCAGCACUGAAAUUAUAUGUUGUGUUGAGGAAAUUCUGGAGCAUGACUGAGGAAUAUAGAAGAUCUCAAACUGGUGAGAAAUGGCAAAAGAGUUGGCCUAGAUAAGGAGAAGGAAGUUAAUUAAAAUAUUUGAAAUAAUUAAUAAUUUAUAGUUCCUUAAGGUUUUUUUUGUUUGUUUUGUUUUUACUUUUCUUGAAAUGAUUUUAUAAAAUGAUGAAACUGGUACCCUAUAUGGUUAAAUAAAUUUCCUAUGGUAAAAUUGUUAAUAAGUGUCAAAACAGAGAUUUGAAUUUUGUCUUCUGACUUAGUCUCUUAGAAAAAGAUUUUUAAAAGUAGCAUUAUAUAUCUAUACAGUGAACAACAUCUAUAUAAUGAGCUCCUUUAGGACAGGAGCCAUUUUUAUGUCUUUCUUUGAAUUCUCAGUCCCUUAAUAUAGUACCUAAUAGAGAGUAAAAACUUAAUAACUGGAGGGUUUAUAGAUCUGAGAAGAGUUAAAGAUCAUCUCAUUGAGUUCCCUCAUUUGACAGAUGAAGAAAAUAAGGGUAAGUAAAGAAUCAUGACUUGACCAAGGUCACAUAGACAGUAAUUAGAAGAGAUGACAUUCAAACACAGAUCACUAUUUUAAGGUUCCUCUUGGUAUUUAAACACUUUAAGCAGUUUCAAUCUAAAAUGAAAAUAGAUUAAUAUAAAAAGGCAUAUAAAAUAAUUUCAGCUACUACAAAGACAAAAAUACCCUUUUUAGCAACAGAAAUGUCAGUGUAUUUCUUUGAAUUUAAAAAUGAUAUUAAAUACUUAUAUAGUCCUGCCUGAAUAAUGAGCUUAAGGGCUCAAUGACUAUUAUGUUGAAUUUUUGUCUCUGAGGAAACACUAUUAUGGGAUCAUAGAAUUUCAUUUAAAAUUCAAAAUAUAUUCUGUGUUUUAGCUCAUUGCAAAGUUCAUUUAAUUUAUUGUACACUUCUAUAAAAAGAAAUUGGUUUUAGACAAUCGAUUGUUUAAAUGUAGAGUAUAACUUGAAGAUUAAAAGAUUUAGAAGAACAAAAUAGAACAACUUUGCAAUAAAUACAUUAAAUCCACCCAAUGCUUCAAAUUUUAAAUUAAAUAGAUAAUUAAGGUAUUGAUUAAAUGGAAAAUAAAACUGAAUGCCAUGCCCACAAUUAUGUACUGUAAUUUUUUUCAGAAUUUAUAUAUGUACAUAUAUAUUUUAAAGAAGGUCUGGUUGUAAAGAAAAUAUCUUAUUGUAGGUAUGGGGAGACUAUACCUUUAUAUGAGUAAAUCAUGAACUCAGAAAUUCAGCUUGCUUUUGUGGAAGAAUAGGAAGAGGAGCUUGUAUAGUACCUCUGUCAACAUUGAUUCAUAAACAACAAGAUUUUUGUUUUUUUGCUUAUUGUGAAAGCUAGAGUAAUUGUUAAUAUGUUUAUUGCAUCUAUGUUUUAGGGCCCCAAAGUCUCUUGACUUCAAACUUUGAGGCAAUGUGGCUCAGUGAAAGAGCAAUGAAUUUAAAGUCACUAUAAGAAGACUCUGACUCUUGGCUCUCCUAUUUAUUAUCUACUCGGGCAAGUCACUCACCCACCAGGGAAGUGCUAAGACUGGAUAGCCUUUAAGAACCUUUCUAGUUUUCUAACUUCUACUUCAGUCAUCUGCAGUGGAGAGCACACCAUAACUUAGAAUUUCUUUACUCUCUAACUGAAAGGGAAUGUGAUAUAAAAAUAACAUUUUAUUUUAUUCUUAAACUAAAUUAUGCUGAAUCUGAAGGAUAAAGAUUUGAUUGGAACUCCACCCAUUCCCAUGUUCUUACAUUUUAAUCCCUACAUACACUUUUUUGAGCCAGCAACCCAAUCCUUUUUGGUAUUUUUUGCAUAGGACAUUCCAUAUCCUAUGUUCUCUUUAGGAGACCUUUCAUAGUUCCUACUCUUCUUUUGCUUCUUCAGCAUUUAAUAUGGUGCCUGGAAAAGAGUAAACACUUAAAUUCUUGCUUACCAACUGCUCACUAACUGGCCAAUAAUCUAACUCUUUUGAGCCUCAGAUUACACAUCUAUAAUGUGAAGGUUUUGGACUAGAUGAUUGUCAAGACCCUUUAUCUUAUGAUCUUAAUUAUAUGAUGUCCUUUCAUUAUAAUAUGGUCUUUCUGCUCCUAUCCUUUUACUCAUCCUUUACCUAUAAAUGAGACAAUACCCAUUGCCAUUUUUAUGGUCAGAUAUCUAUAGCAUCAAAUCCAAUUUUGGAUAUCACUCUUUAGAAGACAUUUAUAGCACAUGAGAAGAAUCACCAUAAUGUCAUAUUAUGAUGAUUAUAGCUGAAAGAAUUUAGAAAUAUGAAACUGUAGAAGAAGAGUUUUAAAGUAGGUGAAAUUGCUGACUUCAAAUAUUUGGAAUCAUAAUCAUUAAAGAGACUAAACUAUUUUACUUUUGUCCUGGAGGCCUGAACUAGAAUCAACCAGUAAAAUUUAGAGUAAGAUUUGGGUUCAAAAUCAGUAAGCCAUCUACAAAAUUAAAUCAGCUAUUUUAAAAUGCAUAAAUGGACUCUUGGGAAAAGCAAAUUCUCCAUUGAUGAGGAUCUUCAAACUGAGACUAAAUAUCAAGAUAUUAUUGAUAAGAUAUAGGAUUUGGACAUUUGAUGAACUGAAAAAUCUAAAAUUCUUCCAAAUCUAAGAUUUCAUAAUUCUGUCAUUUGUUAUCCUGACCUCCAAAUCUUUUCCUCUCUAGUUUAGUAGUUUAUUACUGAUCCAUGUGUUGUCUUGGCCCUAUGGUUAACCAUUUCAGUAGUAUAGUAUCCUUUGAUGCAGUGUCCUGUAAGGUAUAACAUUAGGGGUUAUUGACUGAAUAUAUUAUACUAGUGGUCGCCAGGGAUUAAUUCAAUCCCAAUACAAUACUCGUCAGUUUGGGAUUUUUAUGAUGGUUUAAUUAAAAUAUAGGGAAGAAAUUAAGAAGAAGAGAGAGAGAGGAAAGAGAAUUUAACCUGCUCCAGUCCCGGCUGAGCCAGUCAGGAGUUCAGAGGCCUUAGCCAAGGGGCCUUCUCAAUCUAGCUAGGCUACCAGCCAGGAGGGCUCCUCCAAGAUGAGGGGUUUCCUAGGAGGACAGUGUUUUAGGAGGUAAAGGAAAGGAGGAAUCAGCCUAACCACUCACUAGGCAUGCUAAGAAUGCCUCUAGGAGUUCCCCAAGCUGCCAAGCCCAAUUUCUCUGCAAGAGAGGCUGGAGAGAGGUAGUGAUGUGAAAUAUAUAGGCCUUUUUUACAUCACUUCACUUUCUGCAUCUCACAUGUACCAGUAAUAGCUUAAGUUCGAGUUAGGUCUGCUCAGAGGGUCUGUCAGAUGUUUCUUAUUUGUCACUUGCUAGCACAUGUUGGUCAUAGGUCAUCCUACUCACAGUUAAUCUUUAAGUGAGGGUGUAUACAUCCUUUGGUUGCUAAAUUUCUAAGACUAAGCAGGGUGGAGAAAAUGGAAAAUUCACAAUCCCCCCUGAUGAUGAUUGGGGGACUAGUUUCUCCACUUGAUCACUAUACAAUCAUCCUACACCUCUAAAUUUUCUAACUGCAGGUGCAUACAAAAUUUUCCCUUCUAAGAGUAAACUAUAAUAGUUAGAGAGAAGAGGGGAAAAGAAGAAAGAAAGACAGCAAAAUCAAUGUUUGCUAGGUACAUUGACAAAAACCAAUUAGGGGGCAUAAGAGUAUACAUACAUAACCUUCAGUUAAAUCAACCACAACCAAAGUUCAUUCUAGAUCUUCAUGAUGUAGUGUAGGUUUUUCAGGCAUCUUUCUGCAAACUGUUCAUUCUCUGUAUUUAGGAGUGUGAAUCGUAAAACUGCUCAGACUCUACCUUGGAACAUUUGGUUAAGGCUAUUCCCCAUUUUAACAAUGGAGAUACUUGAUCAGGAAUGUAUUGGGAAUUUUAACAUUACUCCACCCGUACUUAGGCAUACUUUAGGGGAAGAUAAAGUUGUAAAACUCCUUUCUGAACAAUGAAAAAUUCCCUAACUCCUACUUAUAGUGAGGCCAAAACCUUAAGCUAGGUCUAUUUUUUAGAUCUAAUACAAAAGGGUGCUAAGUACCUAUAAAGGUUAAAUUAAUCACUAAAAGGUCAAGCAACUUACAAAGGGCAAGCUUAACAAGAGGUGUCAAGUUUUAUUCUACUCAGGGAAGGUGAUUAACAAAACAAGAUGUGAAUUAAGAAUGGUCAGUCCUGUGGAAAACGUCAACUGUGAUUGGUAGAUGUGAAAAUUUAAGGGAGGUGACAUAAGAGAAAUUUCUCUUUAAAAGGAGCUUGCUCUCUCAACUUAGAGGGAGUUGGAUCUCAGACUAGCUGGAGUAACUGGGCCUCUGAACUUAGUUGGACUUUUGCUUGGGACACAAUCUAGCCAUUUGGCCUAGGCCCUAGCCUUUUUCCUACUAUUUCCUCUUACUCUGUCUCUCUCCCUUCCCUUAAUUCCGUCAAUUCUACUUAUUAAAAUCUCCAUAAAACCAAACUGACUUGGGUAUUUGGGAAUAUUGGGAAUUUUUCCCAUGGCAACUACUUACUUUGAUAAAAAUCAAGACACUAAAAUUAUCUUUACAGUUUUGGCAAUUCACAGUCUUGAAACCCGCAUUUUUACGGUCACAGGAGUUAGCAAGCUUCUUUCCUUGAAGAUCUUUCCCGAACAAAAUAUUUCAAAAUCUUGAAUUUUUAUUAAAAUACAAUAUACCCCAUGAAGUGGGUGUUGAGAAACACCCAGUUCAGCUCAGGAUGCAUAGUUGAGUUAUGGGGGGUAUAUGAGUCAAUUAUCAAAAGAAGAGAAACAAAAACCAAAAACACAAAGAAAAAAAUUGAAGUUAAACUUUUGGGAGAAGGAAAAAAAUUAAAAAUCAGGAAUCAAAAUAUCAAAAUAUAAAAUUGUAUAUAAAAUUGUGAGUAAACAAGAAUAAACUCAUAAUAGACUCUUGUAUUAGGGUCCAAUAAAUUUCUACAGGCCCUAUUAUUAGUGUCCAAUUAAAGUAAUUUCUAUCCCACAACUCUGUAGGACAGAAUGUAGUAAUAUUUCACUUACCCAUUUGCAGCCAAGACUACAGGAAGUUGCCAUACUAUAAGAGAGAAAAAGUACUAGAUUUUUGUGUGUGAUAGGGAAGUGUUAUUCCCUCGUUUGAUUUCACCUUCAUUCUCAGGGAUAGGGGGAGCCAGGAUGAUAUCCAAAUUUUGGUACUUGUCUGUGAGUAUUUCACAAAGAGUGUGGAUACAAGGAAGUCCUAGGUCUUAACAUAUGUCAAGCAUCUCAAGUCUCGAGUCUCACACUAGGUUCAAGUUCUUUUGUAUUGACUUAGAAGAACAUUAAUCCUAUCUGGAUUGGUUUCUUUCUUAUUGACCUGUGUGCUCUUUUUUGGCACUAUUCAGGUUAAGUCUAUGCUUCUAUGGCACUGUAUAGAUGAAUUCAGGGCUCCUUUUUUUAAUCCCAUUUUCUAGAAACAGACACAAAACAUUAAUCACAGUCCCAUAACAUUUAUAAAUAAAAGACAGGUUCACACAGUCUAAAACUUUGGUUAUGCCUUAAUAUUAUAGCAAGUAUAUAUGUAUUUUAAACUUAUAUUACUGCAGAAUAAAAAAAUAAUAUUGAUUGUAUGUACCUUAAGUACAAGAAAUCAGAAAAGGAAAAAAUCAAAUAUUUCAAUCAAAAUAAAAGAAAAGCAAUAAUAAAAAUAAGGGGAAAAGAGGGAAAAAUUCAGGAAUUCAAUGUGUUCUUGAAAAACAGCAUUCACUUGUCAAUAGAUUAUUAUCUCUAAUGCAUGUGAUAGGAUGCAGUCAAUCAGCCUCAACAGAAGAUGAUCUCUUUACAUAUGAGAAAUGAAUCCAAGUGCCCUUCUCUCUGAUUUGUAUAGAUGUUGGAAUAGUUAACAAUAUUUGGAAUGGCUCUUCCUAGGAAUGCUGAGUUGCUCCAGUAUGCUGGAAAUUCUUAAUAUACACCUUGUCUCCUGGGUUCAGGUUGUGAAGUGAAAAGUCUAGUGGUCCAGCUUGUACUGCAGCUCCAGAUUCAUGGAGUUUACAUUGUUUAUGCUGCAAUUCCUGUAUAUAGGAAGCAAUCGUAGUAUCUCCUCCUAAUAGUGAUGUAUAUACAGGGGAGAAAAGCUUAGUCUGUAUAGGUGGAUGUCCAAAAAGCUUCUCAAAUGGUGAGAUGUGUAGGUCUUCUCCUCUGGGCCUGCUUCUAAGAUAAAAUAGGGCCAGAGGGAGAAUUUCAGGCCAUUUUAAAUGUGCCUCAGUACAUAAUUUGCAAAUCAUAGUUUUAAGUUCUCUGUUCAUUUUUUCAACUUGGCCUGAGCUCUAGGGAUGAUAUGGAACAUGGAGUUUGGGAGUUAUUCCCAAGCAUGAAUAUAUCUGAUUUAGAACAGGAUCAGUAAAAUGACUUCCCCUAUAUGAAUCAGUACUUGCUGGCAGACCAAAACAAGGAAUAAUCUCUUUUAAAAGUAUUUUAGCAACUAAAGUCACUGUGGCUCAGACUGUAGGAAAUGCUUCCGGCCAUCUGGUCAGUUGAUCUACUAUGACUAGACAAAAUUUACAAUGUCCAGCCUUUGGCAUUGUUAUGAAAUCUAUCUGUAGGUGCUCAAAAGGUGUGUAAACCAGAGGAUGCUGUACCCACUUUAGAGGCUAUAAUAGUUAUACCAGGGGAUAUCCAUACUCUUUUGAUAGAGUCCCCAAUGCCCUGGGUACCAAAGUGACCAUUUUUAUGAACAGAUUGGCAAAUUUGGUGAUAGAAAUUUCUAGGGAGCAGGAGUUUUCCUUCAGAUGAUACCCAUACUCCAUUAAUCUGUUUUGUUUUAAAUCUUUGCUUCCAUUUUUUCUCUUCCUUUUCAUUAUAGGAAAGUUAUAAAUUUAAGUCAUCAGUGGCUGUCAAUGUUAAAAUUAAUUCAGGCUUCUAUGGCUGCUAGCUUUGCAGUGGUGUCUGCUCAGUCAUUUCCCCUAGAGACAAGGUCAGUACCACCUGAAUGGUCAGAUCAAUGAACUACAGCUAGGUCUUCAGGCAGCUGGAUAACAGAAAGAAAUUCAUUAAUAAUUUCUUCAUUAGCUAUAGAUUUUCCAGCUGAUUUCCAGUAUAGAUUUCCAGUUAAAAAUCCUCUCUGGAGCCAUAGCAUCCUGACUGAGUGACAAAUGCCAAAUGCAUAUCCAGAAUCUGUAUAAAUUGUUGCCUUUUUAUCCUUGGCAAUUACACAGGCAUGCUUCAGGGCUAUGAGUUCUGCACCUUGAACACUAAUAUUAGAGGGUCAGUGAAGCUGACCACUCAGUGGCAAAUUCUGUGACUACAGCAGCUCCAGUGUAGCAUAUGCCAUCCAUCAUAAAAGAAGAACCAUCAGUAAAUAAGACCAGAUCUGGGUUGUCUAAGGGUGUGUCCAAGAGAUUAUCUGGAGACUUUUCUGCCAUGGACACUAGUGUUUGACAACUGUGUAAUGGUUCUCCUGAAGUUGGUAAAUCUGGAAGCAAGGUGGCAAUGUUAAGAGUUGUACAGCUUUUCAGAGUAAUAUUUUCAUUGUUUAACAGGGUUAUUUCAUACCUUGUAAUUCCUUGAUCAGAAAAUGUCUGUGUUCUAUGCCUUAGCAAUAAUGCUUCUAUCUCAUGUGGGCACAUAAUUGUUAAUGAGCAUCCCAAUACUAGAUCAUCAACAGUUUUUGUCACUAGUAAGGCUGUAUCAGCUAUGCCUCUAAGACAUGGUGGUGCUCCUGAAGCUACUGUGUCCAGCUGGACUGAAUAAUAAGCAACUGGGCACUGAGUAGGCCCCAAAGUCUGAGUUAAAACAAUUGAAGUUACCCCUCUUCGCUCAUGUACAUACAAAGUAAAUGGCUUGUUGUAAUCUGGGAUGCCUAGAUAGGGGCAGACAGGAUAGCCUAUUUUAUAUCUGAUAGAGCUGACAAGUGUUCUGGCUCUAAUUUUAGGGGCUCAGGGAUUGAAACCCUUGUUAAUGCUAUAAGGGGUUUACUAAUUUCCCCAUAGCAAGGAAUCCAUUGUAUACAAAACCCUGUUGCUCCUAAAAUUGCUCUCAACUGCUUCUUAGUGAUAGGAACACUUAAAUUUUUAAUAUUAUCAAUUCAUUUUGGAGACAUAGAACGGGCACCCACAGUCAGGAUGAACCCCAAAUAUUCUACUUUGGAGAGACACCACUGAACUUUAUUUGUUGAGAUCUUAUGCCCUCUUUUGUGCAGUUCCAAAAGAAGGGGUUUACUAUCUUCCUGACAUGCUUCUGUGACUGUUGAAGCCAAGAGUAGAUCAUCUACAUAUAUGAUUAAUUUGCUGUUUUUAAAUUUUAUAUUUUCUGUGUCUUGCCUCAAAAUUUGUGGAAAUAAACUUGAGCUUUCUAAUUGUUGUAUUCUGGUUCUUAAAGACUGGAUUUCAUCCCUGUCUUUUUGGUCAUCCUCCUUAUGGUAUGAUUUUCUUUGGAGGUAAUCUUUCAUCUUCUUUGCCUCCUCUUUCAUUUCCUUUGCCUCAUUUUCAAACUGAUUAAUUUUGGCUUUCAAGACACUGCUAUCUGUUUCCAGAUGACUUAUCUUGCUUUUAAAGUUGUCUUCAACAUCUCUUAAUUGUGUUUUGAAUUUUAUUUUGAAUUCUUCCAGAGCCUGUAUCCAAUUUGCUAGGUUUUCUUUUUAUUUGCUUGGAGUUCCCUAAUCCUUCUCUGUUCCUUUUGCUCUUUGUUCAUUGCCUGUAUAGAAACUGUCGAUUGAAAUUUAUUUUUUUCUUUUUCUGUUGUUUGCUCAUAUUUACCCCUUCUUUACUCCUUGCUGUUGCCUGAGCUCUUGCUCAUCUCAUUUUUUUGUGGUUUUGGGCUUUUCUUUUUGCCUUCACUGUUGGAGUUUUGUUAGUAAAUCUCUCAGUUGAUUCUGUGGGGGAGGGGUGUUGGAGCUUGAGCUUCUCUUCCCUCUGGAAGCUUUAAUGGGAUUAAGUCCAGCAGUCUUGGGGGAAGACUUUUGGAACUUGAGCUUCCCAGUACUCUGGAGACUUUGAUGGGAUUAAGUCUGACUGGGUUGCUUGAUGUGCCCUGGGGCCAAAAACCUCUGGAAAGGUGGGGGGACAAUAUGGAGUGCCUCCUCUGCUGCAACUAUGCCUCAAGGUCUGAGCUAUGCAUUUCUCCUCUAUCUGCUUCCACAUUGUCUGUGUUAUACAGUCUGAGCCAGGCACAGCUUUGCCCACAAGUUACUCCCUCCAGACCAGCACCUUUGCCUGCCCAGAGAUUCCAGCUGCCACUGGAAGCUUAGUGCUCUAGUUGGGGGAAAGGUCCCUGGACCUUCCUUCUUCCUUCCCCUUAAACUGGAAUGUUCUCAAAUUCCAGCUUUUGGGCACUUUCCUUUUAAGUUGAGUCCAGUAGGAGAGUUUCUUGGCUCUGUCUUGUUGUUAGGUUUGAUUUUCAGUCCCCUAGGAGCAUUUAGUUUGCAAUUCAUAAGGAAGGGUUUUCAGAGGUCUGAAUGUUUGCUGCCUCUAUGCUACCAUCUUGAAUCUGCCUCUCUCUUGCUCCAAAAUAUGAGAUAUUCUGAUAUCUUUAAUGUCCCUAAUUUUUCAAAUGCCAUGAAAAUUUCAUAGAAUUUAGUAUUCUUUUAUAUAUAUA